GACGAGCUCCCCAAACGUUAUUCGGUAUCACUGGGCUUAAAGAGUUCGUAGGCGGUUCGAUAAGUCGGGUGUGAAACCUCCAGGCUCAACCUGGAGACGCCACCCGAUACUGUCGUGACUAGAGUCCAGUAGGGGAGCGUGGAAUUCCUGGUGUAGCGGUGAAAUGCGCAGAUAUCAGGAGGAACACCAGCGGCGAAGGCGGCGCUCUGGGCUGGAACUGACGCUGAGGAGCGAAAGCGUGGGGAGCGAACAGG
rnacentral:rRNA from 1 species